rnacentral:rRNA from 1 species
AUGGCCAACGGUGAGGUCUCCGACGACGGCCGCGCCGUCGAGGUCUCCGGCGGCGGCGACGACACCCUCCCCGCGGUGCUCCGCGGCUUCGUGGACGGCGUCUGGCCGCCGCCCGGCGACGGCGGAGAUCCGCUCCUGCGGCGCCUCCGCGCGGCGACCUGCGAGGCCGCUCCGCGGCUGCGGGACGCCUCCAGGAACUCGGCCCGCGACCUGCUCGCCUGGACCAAGCAGGGCAGCGGCCUCCGCGCCAUCCUCGUCAUCUCGGUCGGAACAAUCACGAUGAUAUCACUGACUGGCCUGCUGAUUUUCAUGUCCUUCCUUCUGGUUGCGACCGCUAAUGCCAUUAUCGUUUCAGUUCUUAUGUCCUUGGCAGCUGCUGGAGGAUUCCUGGCCUUGUUCUUUGCUUGCUUAGUUGCAGUGUAUGUCGGAGCAGUAUCAAUUGCCAUAUUCGUCGUUUCCGCCACUGUUAUCUCUGCAAUUGUUGGAGUCAUGAUUGCUACUGGUUGGAUCGGAUUCUUUUGGAUGAUUUGGUUUGCCGCAAGGAAGAGCCUGGACCUUACCAAGCACUCAAUCGGCAUGACGACCUCUGCUAUGCAGUCGUAUUCGGCUUCCCGGAGUGUGGGGCAGAAGCUCACAGACUGA